AACGGAGUGUCAGACGAGGCGGUUCACUGCAUGCCACUUAGCAUUCAACUUACUUGUUAGAUCAAGCGCAAACCUAGAAACAACAUCACUUUUUUUUUAUUUUUUUUUUUUGUAAUCCCCAUAUUAAGCACAUAUAUUUUGUUGUUGUUGUUUGAGUUCGCGAGUUUAUCAGCCAGAAGAAAUGACAAUCUAUGGACUGUUGGUGCAGAUCAUAAUCGUUUGUAACUAGCCUUCCGAAGAGUCCGACAUCCGAGGAGCAGCAGCCAUGGCACCGCCCCAGGAGCAGCCGGAGGAUGAUAUUAUCACCAAGAUACCCUCGAUAAUUGGAUUCCUGAACUUGGACUGACUGGCGACAACUGGAGCUUUGGCCCCCCUUUUACCCCAAAAUUCGAUGAGCUGACCUAGAGAGCCAAGGCUGAAGUGCUGAAUCAUGAGAAUUAUCGCUACAAAUCUGUCAUAAUCAUACGGUUAACAAAUAAACAAGCAAGCAAUGUGAGCUAA